CACACAGAACCGCCGGGCCCCAUGGCAACGUUGCAUACAGGGACAUCAAACAGGCUGGGGUUUAGGAAGUCGGCUUGGUGGACCUACGUCACUGUGGUUAUCACUGCUCUGAGCAGCAGCAGUGGGCCCGUGGCCCAGUCUGAAGGCACUUUAGUCUGGCCUCCCUGCCCACCCCCACUGCCUUGACAGCCUUGAUUUUCUCCAUGCCAAGGGGCCCAUGCCUGCCUGUUGUCCCGGUAACCAGCCAUGUUAUGGAUCUACUCUGGGAUCCCCAGCCGCUCCCCACAUCCGGGAAAUGCCUGGGCCCAGGCUUCCCCACCCCUGGGCUUGGAAUCUCAGAGUGCAAGGAAAAAGGUCUGGCUCCUGCACUGUUCUCGCUAAGGGACUGGAGGCACUGGAUGGGGGCAGAAAGCUCCAGAUUCUUCCCGUCUCAUCUUGAGAUUUCUUUGGACUGAUACCCAGUGCUCUAGCUACUGGUCCAAACUUUGUUGAUGGUUUGUGACAGAAUUUCAGGCCCCAAACUCAAAUAUAAUAUGGGGCCCAUAUGGGCCCCAAGGUGGCCCCAGUACCUACCCAGCCAGCUCUGCCCCUAGUGGAUCAUUGAUGAGAUCCCAGUGGCCAGGCCCAAAGAAUCCCCUGGGAAGGGCAGUGGCUGGGCGUUAACCAAGGGCAUAGGGUGAGUCAGGAGAGAAUAGGGCACAGUGCCCCCAACCCUGCCAUGCCUGCACAUCACACCACCCGCCCUGGGUGCUGACUCACCACCACCCAGAAUACUCUUUGACAGACAGUUCCUGUCCCCAAAGUUACCAAGGUACCCUUGCAACAGGCUGGGGCCAUCAGAAGGGGGAAGUCCCAGCUGCUGCCAGAAGGUACUUCCCAGGUUAAGGAGGUUGGGGAAAAUCUAUGAAGAUUCAUAGAACUUCCAGAACCACAUCUGGUAGCACAUCUGUUGGCCCAGCUGCCAUCCCAGGCACAGCCCAGAGACUGGUACAUAUAGAGUUAACUGGGGCCCUUCUGGGGUCUUCUACCCCAUCUCCCCCCAGGAUCUCAGCCCCUGUGACGUCACUAGGGAUUGCCAUAGCAACCACUGGAAGUUCCCAAAUAAAAUUACUGUGUCGGGUUAAGUUUCCUUGGAGCUAGGCAGCAGUAAACAAUGGCAGGCGAGGCCAGUCUGGCCGGGCUGGGGGGCCCAGGAGGGGGCCCGAUCCAACCUCAACCCUUUCUCCCACCCCCAACCAGUAGGGAGACUAUACUGCUAAAGCACUGGGCAUUGAUUGACACAGACAGAAGUGGAAAGAGAACUGAGGACAGAGAUAGAUAACGGAAAGAGGACUAUAGGAAUAGAGCUGGGGAAGAGACAGGAACAGAUAAACUGCCCUGAAGAGAAACAAACCAAACAUCUUGGUAGAGUGGAAAGCCCAAUGGUUUGGGGUUGGAAUCCUGCCUCUAUUGAGGUUUUCCUUAAGUCACUUCCCACAUCUGGACCUCAAAUGAAAACACUAAGGCUGGGUU